CCUCCAGGGGCGAAGUGGUUUGAGUGCUGGACUUCAACUCUAGGAGAUCAGGGUUCGAAUCCCAGCUGGGUUA